UCGUGCUAAGGAUUUUCCAGGUUUCUUGGAAGCAGUUGCUACAAAGAUGGAAGCUCCUUUCGAGCAACUUCUUGAUCGGCUUGAUUUGCCGGUGAAUGCUAUUAUAGCCGAUACUUACUUGGAUUGGGUGAUCGGAGUUGGGAAUCGGAGGAAUAUUCCGGUUGCUUCUCUUUGGACAAUGUCAGCUACAGUAUUUUCUAUCUUGCACAAUUUUGAUCUCCUCGUCCGAUAUGGGCAUUUUCCGAUCUCGUUAUCCGAAAGAGGAGAAGAGCGUGUGGAUUACAUCCCUGGAAUUCCUCCAACACGUCUAUUAGAUUUUCCUACAAUCUUUAAUGGAACUGGCAGACAAACUCUUUACAAAGCGCUGAAGUCUGUUUCAAUGGUGUCUAAAGCACAAUACCUUCUAUUCACUUCUGCUUACGAGCUUGAACCAUCAGUUAUUGAUGCUUUAAAAUUGAAUUUUUGCUU
rnacentral:misc_RNA from 1 species